UUCCAGACUCCUACGGGAGGCAGCAGUGGGGAAUAUUGCACAAUGGGGGAAACCCUGAUGCAGCGACGCCGCGUGAGUGAAGAAGUAUUUCGGUAUGUAAAGCUCUAUCAGCAGGGAAGAGAAUGACGGUACCUGACUAAGAAGCCCCGGCUAACUACGUGCCAGCAGCCGCGGUAAUACGUAGGGGGCAAGCGUUAUCCGGAUUUACUGGGUGUAAAGGGAGCGUAGACGGCUGGCCAAGUCUGAAGUGAAAGCCCGGGGCUUAACCCCGGAACGGCUUUGGAAACUGGCCGGCUGGAGUGCUGGAGAGGCAGGCGGAAUUCCUGGUGUAGCGGUGAAAUGCGUAGAUAUCAGGAGGAACACCGGUGGCGAAGGCGGCCUGCUGGACAGUAACUGACGUUGAGGCUCGAAAGCGUGGGGAGCAAACAGGAUUAGAUACCCCCGUAAAC
rnacentral:rRNA from 1 species